GCAGAGGCAGCGGCCGCGCUUUGUGUGAGCCAUGGGAGCAGAGCUGCAGAGGAAGUGACUCAUCCCGCUGUGCUGUGCGACGUGCUUAGGGAUACACCACCGGGCUUCUUGGAAACGCAGCCUGCAGGCCUGCUGCGGGCAGUGAGUCCUGGGGCGCUGUGUGUGCCCGGGGUGAGCGGCUGCUGCUGCUGCUGGUGGCUGCGGGGAGUGUGGCAGCGUGGCUUUGGAGCAGCUGGGUUUGCCUCGUACUGCUGGGGGCUGGCUGAAGUGCGAUCGGAAAAGGAGAAAUUGGCUCAUCGUAAGGAUUCUGAAUCAUGGGCACUUCUCCAAAAAGUGUUUCUGUUCAGGGGCUGGAGGUGCUUUCCCAGAAGCUGUCAGGACUCACCAGCCCUCUGCGCCCUGCCUGAGCCGAUGAAAAGGGCCAAAUGCUAAAACAGAAUAAAACCAACGGGAGGGAGUCGAGGGAAACAAAGCACCAUCAGAAGGCUCCAGGAAGCCGAUGAGCCCCUAUGUCUGCUUUUAUGUCAGCGUGGUGUUUUCCAGAGCGUGUGAGCAUGCGGGGAAGCUCUGGUUGAGGCAGCCGGGAGGCGCGGCACUGUGCGGCACAGCCCGCUGCUGCGUGCUGACAGCGUCGGUCCCUCUCUGUGUCUUCUCGGUGCUGCCCUUGUAGGGGGUGACCAAUUAAAGUGGAUUGGCCUUAGCUGUACCAUCUGCUGUGAGAAGGAGCAGUUCUUGGUGAGGAUUUGGCAAAUCGCAUACAGUGGGUUUUCAAAUCCUGCAGGAGCUUAACUCGUUUAGGAACAAAGCGAGUCUCAGGCGGAGCUCGUGUAUCUGCCAAAGGAUGAUGCUGAGUUUUUCCUUUUUAUCUCUUUGCUUUUGUGAAGUGAAUUUCCCCGCCUGGGUUUCAGCAGGUCCUGCAGACUCUUGCACACGAGGUUGGCUCAGCUGAUGAUGAAGACAGUGCAUGGGCCCACCAAGUUUAGGUCUAUGUGUGAUGCAGUAUUUGCGCAUUUGCUUAAUGGGAUGGGGAAACCACACACAGCGGUCUCUGUUGGUGUGACGGCAUGAUGGUAAAAAGAGGCUUUUGCAUUAAAAUCCAUCCCGCCCUUUUGAACCUGUUGAAAUGUGGAACAGACACGUGCAUGUUUGUGCGGAUGACAACUUGGUGUUUACAAGUCAGUGAUCAUCAGCCCAUCUCUGCAGCUCUUCCUUCACGGCUCAGAAGCUGGUUUCAUUGCUGUUGAUUUUGUGAAGCCCUUAAGCAAUCUCUCCCCUUCUGUUUUGGUCAUUUUGCUUCACAUCUUAAAAGCUUUUCUCUUAGCGGCCGUGUUUAAGUGCUUUGGGAUGACUUUUGCUACAUUUUACAGCUGCACUGCCCCAGGGCUCCGUUAGAAGCCUUGCUGAUUGAGCUGAAGGAACCGUGUUGGAUCACAUCUGUUUCUGUGCUACCUUACGUCCCUAGGUUGGAAAGGAGAAAGCAGCAGAUGCCAAUUUGCUCAUACAAAUAGGAAAGAAGCAUUUUAAGACGUGACUUUUUACUGUGAGUCAGUGAAGGUGUGAAGCAUUCAUUUGAAACGAUUUAGAGGGGAUGAAACUGUUCCAAAAUAAUUCCUUCUCGAGUCUGUAGCGUACCAGCAUCUCAGGACUUGACGUACAGUUUUAUCUUGGAGUCCCGGAGGGACGGCCUUGAGUGUGCAUGAGGCCGAGUUUGCCUUAUUCCAUAAAAUUACACGCCCUGACCUUUGUGGGAGAUCUCGUCUCACUUUGAAGGCUGGAGUUACUGCGGGUAUCCUUAUCUGUGCAGCUGUGCCCCUGCACAGAGCUGGGCCUGGCUCUGAGCUCAGCUCCACACGGGGCUGUGCCGUGUCCCGUCUGCACACAGCCUGGGAUACUGCGCUGCUCACUGCUCCACCACGAGGGUUAAACAAACACGAUGUAGAAUUCUUCUGCAAAAACACAGCUCAUUUCCUUAGGAAUUUGCUUCCGAGGGGAUUGUGAGAUAUUCUCCCUCUACUGAUUUAAAUGACAGGAAUAGCUCUGUCCUGUGUCUGCAAACAGAACUGUGAGCCUGGAGAAGAACUCCAGCAGCCGUACAGCUUGGGUGAGCCCAUUGUAAACGGAAUGAAUUGCAUCAGCGCCUGCAAAACCGAACUUCCUUUAAAUCCGAUGGUCCCUCCUCGGAAUAAUGAAAAUACCCCGGGCUUUCUUCGUGCACCAUUUCCAAGCUGUUUUGGCCUGACCACGAGGAACAGCUUCCGGAGCAGAAGAGCCCCAGCAGCGCUCUGCCUUCCCAAUGGGCCGCGGCUGUGUGAGCAGCAGUGAUGUGACGGGCAGGGCCGUGCCCAUGGCUGAACGACACAGCCUCAGAGUCCCAUUGGCACUGAGACUUAGGCUGUUUGCCUUCUGUGCUGCUGGCUGAUCACACUUGGUAUGAGCCCGGUGACUACUGCAGUAGCAAUUAAAUACUGCAGAAGCUACCGGGGGUGUUCCUGGAUGUGGUCAGCGUGUUGGGACCAAACAGGACUGAACGUGGCGGUGACAGCUCCUCGUGAGCAGGAGCUCGGAUUCGAGGGCUGGAUCAAACAAUACGUGCUGCUGCUUCCUCAGAGGCUGCGUGCCCUUUGGCUGUGUUUUUUUAAUCUCUGUUUACUAUAGAAAUAGCUCGAGGAGAUUGUGCUGCGUCAUUCGGUUCCCUGCCAGGGUGUAUUUUAGUUAAAGGCAAACGAGAAAAUGUGCGAGUGCAGGAGAGUGGCUGUAACUUCCAUGGCAUAAGCAAAGGACAUUACAAAUUACGUGAGGCAGGGAGGAUCUGAGCACUGCAGAUCAAAUUUAGCCCCUUUGUCUGGAGACAUAAGAAAAGAGAAAAAUGGGCUUUUGCCAAUAUUGCCAUGCAGGGAGCUGCCAGGUGGCUGGGGAACGACCCGGCUGUGCUGCGGAAAUGCAGAAUCAGCAGAGGCUGCUUGCAAAGGAAACCCACGGAGCGCUGCGAGUGCACGGCAGCACCAGGAGCUGCAGGUGGGGAGAUGGGGAGCGGAUUUCAGCUGCCUUGGGAGGGAUGAUGCUGAGGGGAAACACAGCUCAUCCUGCAGUCAUGAGAGCGCUGGGGCUUCUGUGGGCUGCCAACAGUGGUGGGAAGCAGGAGCCACCACAGCUCACCAUUCAUACACACGUCUGGAGAUGAGGGGCUUGCUUUAGGCAGGGUGGGAGCUGGCAUGGCAGAGAGCUCCUCCAGGGGUGGUAAGGACUUGACAUAGGAACAGCAAAGACUGCAUCUUAUCUGGCACCAACACUUUCUCCUCACUGUCCCCUGGCAGCAGAAAGCACUGUCAGUUGCUUUGGAAGGAUUCAAAUGAAAAUCCUUUGAAGCAGCCAUCAGACUUCCUUCCUUUCCUCUUUUCCUCUGCUUUGUCAGCGAUGCUCUUUUCUGCUGACUUAGAGGCACGAAGCAGCCCAGCGCCUCUGCCUGUGCGGGUGGACAGGUGCACACAGGGCACUUGGAAUGCCAUCAGCCCUCAUUUCGGUUUGUCACAGGAGCUGCAAAACUGAUUUGCUCUACUGGAGGGAGAUUUUGCUGCUUGCUGAGCUGGCUGUAGUGAUUCAAUUGCAUCCUCAGGAUAUAUAGCUGAUGCUAAACCCAAUAUGUAUUAGUACAUGUUAGAAGAGAAAUCUAUAAUAAAAACCGUAUCCUGC
ensembl:lncRNA